CCAGGCGGGCGGGUGCUGGAGAACGGUUACAGGUGAGCGCGCGGUAACAAAAUCCCGCGAGCCCAGCUUCGGGAGGCAGUUGGCCGCUUUGUGUUUUUCCUCUCGGUUUCGUUUCCCGCACCCCUCGGCCGGGCAUUUACCAAGCAUCUCUACCUGCCAGACUGCGCCCAGCUUGCGGCUGGGAAGACGGCCGGAUGCAAACAGAUAAGCGCCCGCAGGUGCCUCCUGCCCGUGGACACCGGCCGGCAGGUGCGCGGAGCCAGUGAGAGCCCCGGGACGCCGGCUGCUCCCCCGAGGAAUGCCCCUCGAGCCACGUCUUGGAAGAUGAGCAGGCACUGGAUAAAUUGUGUCGACUGAUAAUAAUUAUCAUAACUUGCUUUCCCCAAAGGACUGCAGAGAAUCCCUUAGUUGAGUAAAUAAACAGUGAGAUAAGAAGUCCAGCCAAAACUGCUAAGCCAGCUAAAAGAUAAGCCAGGAAUGCUAUCCCAUAAGGAUUACUUAUAAAAAAAAUCAACGUUUUAAGCAGAACCGUAAUUAACCGUGAGCUCUGCUUGAGGACGGGCUGAGGCGAGUGCAGGCCCGCCGCUGGGGGAGCUCCGGGGGCCAGGCCCUUGGCCCCAGGCUGCUGUUUCAUCACUGUUCCCACUGUCUACCUCCUUCUCUGACUCCCAACUUGCAAAAGAGCUCUGUUUGCAUGUUUUAUUCCCAGUAGUCCCUCUAGUACCGCAUGAAGGAGAAAUCCUCCUGUCUUUGUUUGUGGCCAGAGACAGCGGGGUGGGCGAGGCUGAAGGAACUUCACAAGGGCACCUGAACCCCAGAGCGGGUGUGUCUGACCCGAAUCCCCCUGCGGGGCUGGUGCUGGGGCCCCACCUGGCUGGCCAUGGGCAGUCUGAGACACGUGGUGGACAGCAGCGGCUGGACGCCUUCCUCCUUUGCUGGCCGGACCCCCCGGGGGCCACACGCACAGGGAGCCCUUGGUCAUGGCUGAUGCGCUGGCUUACUUAACCCAACACCGGCCUCAGGACCCUGGAGGGCAGGCGGGCUCUCGUCAUCAGCUGUGCUCACAGGCAGACUGGCUUUGGACACCCUUCCAGAAGCUUCCUCCCAAACCGGAAGUCAGCCAGCAGCUGCAUUUUGCUUUUCUCAGGACUGGACAAGGAAACGAGAAAGCAAAUGAUUUCAGCUCCGGUGGAAAUCCUUCAGGCGAUAUAUCUACCAACUGGUAAUUAUUUCUGCAAAAACGACUGUUCGGUGAGAGCGGUGACUUCAGGCUCCUGGUGUGUGUGCAUGGUGCUCACGGAGGCAAGUCCGGGGACUGCAGCGGGCAGAGGGGAAGGACGCAGGGCUCGGCCUCGAGGCUCCAGCUGCCAUCGCCCUUCCUGGCCCCUGAGAGCCUGGACACUCAGCUCCCGGGAGUGAGGACAUCCUCUUAGCAGGAUGAUGAUGGGCUCUGUGCAUCCACAUGAUAAGCCAGCUUUUCCUGAGGAGCUGAGUCAGAGCUGGGUGGCAUUUUGUCUCCUUGUAUCAACACUCGGGUGCUAUGGUGAAUGUGGACCUAUAGAGACCCCAUCGACAUCUCCAGUCUCCCCCCAACAUUCUGCCUCGUUAUCUUGGGUGAAGCUGGGCAGACUCGGGAUCUCGGAGUCAAGCCCACAGCUGUGGGUGCAGAACUUGAAGAUCCACGGUGGUGCUCUGAGCCCCACCCCCUGAUCGUAUGAUGAAAGUUGUCCAUGGAUCUUGGAUCCUGGCACUGAAGGGGCCACCAGCCCAGAUGAAUCCAGCUCCUUCUCACAGCCACGGGGACCCGCUGGGUCUCCUCCCAAGGAGCUAAAGAGCAGAAGGUGUGGCUUUGACACGUGUGUCUCUACCAGGGACACCUGAUGAUGGUUGUUCAGAACGUGCACUGGAUCCCAGUGCAUCCAUAUGAAUGAGCACCCCAUCCCCCAGUGGACAGAAGCCCGAAUUCCUAAUCACUGAGUUAACCCCCCGGGAGCAGGAGCAUGGAAUUAGGUCUCCUAGCCUGGGUGCUGCAGACAGUACAAGACAAGGACAGAUGAGCUAUUUAAUGCUAACAGGGUGGCAAAUUCACUUCGCUUUGUGCAUCAAUUUAGAAAUACUAACUUGUUUUAUUUUUAUGAUGUCAUGUAACUUGGUACACAAUAACGUGAAAAUUCAUUUUAUUAAAACCAGAGAUUAAUUAUACUACCCCAAAGAACAAAUUGCCACUAAUACUGGGUAAUCUAAAUGUCCUGAUUGUGGCAAUAAACUGAGUCAGGGAAGGAAAGGAGAAGAGAGAUCAGGGUGGCAAUUUGCUUAAGAAACAACGGACCGUCUAAUGGUAGCUUCUACUGAACGCCGUGAGCCCAGGCCUCCGCUCUGGGCCAGCACCUCCCACGGCAGCCGCUCUCUGGAACCCCAGUGCCAUCACAGGAAGGAGGUGAUGAUGGCCGGCCAAGCUGAACCCAAGGGCUGGCUCGGCAGAGCGCCUGGCCUGCUCUGGACUCACUUGCCAUCAGAACACCCAGGACCCAGGCACCCCUACCACAUACACAAAUUCCUUGGGGGUGGGGCCGUACCUGUAAGACAUGCCCAGGUACUGUGCACGCAGUAGGUGCUUAAUGGAUGCAUGCCAAUCAAGGGGCUCCGAGACAGCAUUUGUCUCCUGAAGGACUCACUCCAUAAGUGGCUUAGCGGGUUUCAUGGGUCCAUAUGGACUUGUGAGUCUACUGCUGAGAGGAGCCCGCCUUUGGGGGGCCGACGGUGCACACUGUCCCUAAAGGCAGUGCGUUUUCCUGUGGAAUGCAGUGGCUUUGGUGAAAGAUUAACCUUUCGCCUAAAAACAAAUGUAUUUACAUUCCCGA